ACAAGUACCCUGCCCUGCAGCACAUUGCACAUACCUACUUCUGCCCACGGCUGGCUCUCUCCUUGCCCUGAGGGGAUGCCUGAGGAUGAAUUCUCUGCUGUGGCCUCUGGAACUGCUUUCUGCAGGAACUGGGACCCCGACUGCUCACUGGGACAGCUGGUUGAGGCUUCAGUCACCACUGUAACACAGAGCACAAAACCUGUCCGUUUUAGGCGACAACACCGAUCUACUUAGUGUCCUUCUCACAGCCAAGCAGGAGGAGAGUUCAUGGAGAGGAAUUCAGGGCGGAAAACAAAGUGAACCAUUGGAAACUGCUUUCAGACUGCAGAUUCCAACCAGAUUUGUGUCAUGACUUCAGCCAGGGCAUUCUUCACCCACGUGGGACAAUGUCAGGAGCCUCAGUGACAUUGAGGCAGGGUCGGGAAUGUUCUUGGUGAUAAGCAGACACAUGAGAAUGCUCUGAGGAGAGGGGUGCAAGGCAGUGCAGAUUUACAACACUGAGACCCUUCAGAGCAGCACUAAUGCCCAGUGGAGUUCUCUAGCCUAAAUGUCUCGUUGUCAGUGGAAGAAACAAAGGUAAUGUAAUUUGAAUGCUGGAUGCAACAGCGUAGGCUGCUCUCCAGGCUGAUUCUCCCUGCUCCAAAUGGGAAUGAUGGCUCCAAACAGACUCACCAGCACAGACUGAAGAGCAGACAUCUGAUUUGGGAGGAAAUGGCCAAUAUCUCAGCUUUUUUCCCCACGAUUUGUUUCUUCCUGGAAAGGAAAAAAAAAAAAGCCACAAAACA